UACGUAGGGGGCGAGCGUUGUCCGGAUUUAUUGGGCGUAAAGAGCGUGUAGGCGGUUCGGUAAGUCUGCCGUGAAAACCUGAGGCUCAACCUCGGGCGUGCGGUGGAUACUGCCGGGCUAGAGGACGGUAGAGGCGAGUGGAAUUCCUGGUGUAGCGGUGAAAUGCGCAGAUAUCGAGAGGAACACCUGCGGCGAAGGCGGGUUGCUGGGCUGACACGUGACGCUGAUGCGCGAAAGCCAGGGGAGGCGAACGGG
rnacentral:rRNA from 1 species